rnacentral:lncRNA from 1 species
AUAGAAAAUAUGUAUAAGAGUAUGUAUAAUUUUAGUACAGAAAGAAAAAGAUGUAUGAACGAAAGUUAGCCGAACAUUGAUAUUUAUUUUCCCUUUUAUUUCUAUGUCAAUUUCCAAUAAUUGCUCAAAAAUAUGAUCAAACUUUGCUAUCAUUUCGGAUAGGCUUUCUUUCUAUCACAUUAAUAAGAGGAUGUUGACUUUUUUGAGCUUGGUUGAUCCUAGAAGUUUACUUUGGCUGCCAGUAGUAGAUUUCCUAGUUCUUGGCAAAUAAGAUUCAAC